rnacentral:sRNA from 1 species
UUUUUUUGUAUUUUUUU